UAGGGAAUCUUUGGCAAUGGGGGCAACCCUGACCGAGCAACGCCGCGUGAGUGAAGAAGGUUUUCGGAUCGUAAAGCUCUGUUGUAAGUCAAGAACGAGUGUGAGAGUGGAAAGUUCACACUGUGACGGUAGCUUACCAGAAAGGGACGGCUAACUACGUGCCAGCAGCCGCGGUAAUACGUAGGUCCCGAGCGUUGUCCGGAUUUAUUGGGCGUAAAGCGAGCGCAGGCGGUUUGAUAAGUCUGAAGUUAAAGGCUGUGGCUCAACCAUAGUUCGCUUUGGAAACUGUCAAACUUGAGUGCAGAAGGGGAGAGUGGAAUUCCAUGUGUAGCGGUGAAAUGCGUAGAUAUAUGGAGGAACACCGGUGGCGAAAGCGGCUCUCUGGUCUGUAACUGACGCUGAGGCUCGAAAGCGUGGGGAGCGAACAGGAUUAGAUACCCUGGUAGUCCACGCCGUAAACGAUGAGUGCUAGGUGUUGGAUCCUUUCCGGGAUUCAGUGCCGCAGCUAACGCAUUAAGCACUCCGCCUGGGGAGUACGACCGCAAGGUUG
rnacentral:rRNA from 1 species